AUUUUGUAACAAUAACAUUUAUUAAUAUAAAGAAUCAGAUAAUUGUAAUUACACUGUAAACAUAUGGUUAUAUAAUAUAAAUAUAUACAAUCGCAAUAUUAUAGGAUAAUAAUCAAUAUACUCCUGGUUAUAAUCUCCUGAUUCAGUAAUAUAGUUUUUGAUGUAAUGACAGGUUGAAAACGUCUUACAGAGGAUUACCUCGUACGUGUUUAUGGAAUGAAAAUCUCACCAAAUUUUGCUAUGACUACAUUCACUAGCAAAUGCUCGAAUUGACUAAAUAACUUCAGAUAUAUUGAGUUACUUUCCAUACAUUACUGGCCCGAAAUCACGUCAUGAGAAUAUAGCUCAGGGGGCAGUUGUUCAAAGCUGGGUUAGCUUAACUCUAGGUUAACUUAAAAUUCAAAGGAAACUUAGCCGCCAUGAACUACUAGAUAUCAGCCUUAAGACUGAUAUCUAGUAGUUCAUGGAGGUAACACAUUGGACUUACAUUUAACUCCGUAAAGACAACGAAAUGCCUAUAGUGCUAUUAUUAGUACGGUUUUUAGCCUUCGUACACAGUGGAGAACAAAAUACUACUAACUGUAUUUUGUGCAAUUGUAGAAUUUGAAAACUUAUUAAACAAAACUUUUACCUCUGGAUGAGUGUUCAGUUUUAUAAUUUUUUAAAAAUUUUACAUCCCACUACAUUUCCAUGCAAAUACAGAAAUAUUUGAAACAGAAAACUGAAUCGGGUUAAAUUACAAUCAGGAAUUUUACUUACGAUUUUUCGUUCAAUUUAAUCAAAGUAGCAACUAAAAUAAAAUGCUAUUACAAUAUUUCACAUACAUUAGUACAGUUUCUUUGUAGAAGUAUGAAUGAAGAUUUUCUUCAAACAAAUUGGCCGUUAUUUUUGAAAUAAUUGAGCAGAAGAAAGGCCAGAAUCAUGGCGACAAGCUAAACAUAAAAAUACAUUUUUU